AUGGAGAGAUGUAUUCUGCUGAUUCUUAUAACAGUAUCAGGUGUAUUUGCUGACAGCAUUAAACCAAAAGACAAGGAAAAUAUAAUCAGGACAGAAGGAGAGUCUGUGACACUGAGCUGUACAUAUGAUACAAGCAGCAGUAAUACUUUUGUUAUGCUUUACUGGUACAGACAGUAUCCAAACAGAGAACCUCAGUAUUUACUACGGAAAGGUGCUCGAUCAGGGAGCAAUAGUGAGGAUAUACCAGAUCCUCACUUUCAGUCGACUACAUCCCAAUCAUCCACUGAACUCAUUAUUAACAGUGUGACUCUGUCAGAUUCAGCUCUCUAUUAUUGUGCUCUAUGGAGCCCAGUGAUACAAAGUCUAUGUGAAGCCGUACAAAAACUGAAAAUUAUUUUAAGCCGCAUCAAACCCACAAUCUAUAAUUCACACAAUAUAAUUGUGGAAACACCUGUGUGUGGUUAG